rnacentral:rRNA from 1 species
UACGUAGGUGGCAAGCGUUGUCCGGAUUUAUUGGGUUUAAAGGGUGCGUAGGCGGCGCCAUAAGUCAGUGCUGAAAUAUCCCGGCUUAACCGGGAGGGUGGCAUUGAUACUGUGGUGCUUGAGUAAAGUCGAGGUAGGCGGAAUUGACGGUGUAGCGGUGAAAUGCUUAGAUAUCGUCAAGAACACCGAUAGUGUAGACAGCUUACUAGGCUUUAACUGACGCUGAGGCACGAAAGUGUGGGGAUCAAACAGG